GGUGGCGCCCGAAGAGCCGGUCAAGCAAAGCACUCUUCAACGCGAAGUCGGUCGCCCGGACGCCCAGAGUUUGGUCCCGUACCGUCAGACAUUCGGGAGGUGAAAAUAAAGGACGGUACGUGGAAAAAUCAGACAAAGUCGGACCCCCGUAUUUACUGCGGAAUCGUCGAGAUUGACCCGAAAAUAAGAAGAUCAACCAUCGGUCACGCGGAGGUUUACGUAGGUUAACGUGCGGGCGCGACACGCUUCCGUGUACGUUGGAGACGAUUCCCUGCGGUUCCUUUUCGAGCGAUUCUUUAGAAACGCAGAGGAAUAAUCCCUCGUUGAAGGGAAGCGACGGCUACACGGGCGCGCGUGCGCGUCUUUGGGUCGGGCACCAUCCAUCACGUUUGAUUUCGUGGUCUUUUCAGCCGGCGGUCCACAAAAAUGAUCUCUUUGAAGAUGCGUCUCGUCUCUCGUGACAAGCGACUGCACAACGGGGCUCGGGUUUUGUAAACGGUGUCCCCCGGUUGAAUGUCUCCCACGCUCUGGAGCAGCUGUUUUCGACGGGCAAUACGGCGCCGUCAAAAACGCCGAGGUCAGGCGCACGAGCCGCAUCGGUGCGUAUUUCUUGAUACGAGCGUCCAUCUGAGACGUGACGCUGUGGCGACCCGUCACGGGACAAGCCGAAAUGAACUUUUUCUUACGGAUAUACGGUACGUGUUUUUGACAAUGGUUCCCAUUUAAAAAAAAAAUAAAAUGAAUCAAUCAAAAAUGUGCUUGUCUUGACUUUGGAUAAAAGGAAGCGAUUCGGGAUAGCCGGACUUUGAGGGCAAAAUAUCCACGACUACAAAUACUUGAAAAGAGGCCACGUAAAUGAAGGACUUUCUAAGAGUAAUAUUGAAGCGACACGUAUGACGGCUUUGAAAAGGAAAAGUAUUGAAAGUAUUAUUUGUGGCCACAAGGCGGCGGCGGCGUUGUGGGAAAUUGUACAUCUCGGUGCUUGCGACUGGCGGUGAUUUUAUAUUUGUAUUAAUUUUUAAUUUUUUUUUUUAGGCACACACGUUUGUGCGAAUAAAUGCGCCGCUCGGAUCCGACGUGGCUCUUUUUUAUUAUUAUGAAUUUGUUUUUUUUUUUGGGGGGGGGUGGCGUUAAUUGGCGACACGUGUAUACAAAUGCACGCAGGUGGCCUAAUGGGCAGGCAGUAAAAUGGCGAGCAAGCGAACUUUUGAUGUUCGGACACGUUCGUAACGGUGGCGACGUGCUUUAUUUUGAUUUUUGCAAGCUUUUCCCCGGCAGAGGAGCAGCAGCGUCGAAGGAAAGAAUGCGUGUUUUGUCGCAGGGCAGAGAGUGAAGUGGCGCAGACAAGGGUCGGGAGCAGAGCUUGGCGCAUGGGAGCGUUUGUGCGAAAGUAGCGCAGAGGGGUGAUUUUUGUGUCGGUGGACUGUAGGCGCAGUUUGGUUUUUGGGUGUGUUGGAAAGGGCGGAGGAGACGGCGGAUCUCGCGAGACGGGGAGAGCUGCCGGAUGAGGGGAUAAGCUGGAUAAAGGCGACUUCCUCCGGAGUGAAGUGCUCGGAUUCCAUACCUGCCUGGAAUGAAGGGUCAGAAGGCUUUUGAAUGAUGAAAAUCUGGAUCAAGAUGACGAGGAGGAAUCCCGGCCCGAAGUGGAAAAGUUUUGCCGAGCACCGACGUUACCGGGAGAGUAUGACUGUAGUUUAAUGUUGGGGUUUGUGUGCACUUAUUUUCCUCACUGGCCAGUAUGAAGAGGGUUUGAAAUGAGGACUUUGUCGCGAGGAAUGGAACGUUUGAGGACCACUUGACGUGUACACGGUUGGAAGAUGAACGUCUUGCUUGAGGAUGAAGCGGAAGAAAUGGGCUGCACUUACAAGAGGAAUAGUUCCUUGGCUAUUUGGAGAGCAAAGGUGAAAAUGGAGGAUGCGCUGAGCACUCCAAAGAGGCCCAAGAUGACGGUUUGGAGACGAGGCUGCGCACCGGUAAGCGGACGUGACGGGAGAGUCCAGUUUGUUUGUUGCCUGGUGGAGCAGGAGAGCUUUUGGACGGGAAGCAGAAUGGGCUCAGAAGCAGCCGGAUGGGGUAGGGCGUGCGUGCACACACACAAG